rnacentral:rRNA from 1 species
UACGGAGGGGGCUAGCGUUGUUCGGAAUUACUGGGCGUAAAGGGCGCGUAGGCGGCGCGAUAAGUUGGGCGUGAAAGGCCCGGGCUCAACCCGGGGACUGCGCUUGAUACUGUCGCGCUGUGAGUCCGGGAGAGGAUGGCGGAAUUCCCAGUGUAGAGGUGAAAUUCGUAGAUAUUGGGAAGAACACCGGUGGCGAAGGCGGUCAGCUGGACCGGCACUGACGCUGAGGCGCGAAAGCGUGGGGAGCAAACAGG